AAAUCGUCUGCCUUCGAGUUCAAAAUUUUUUAUUCCGAUCUUAUAAACCAUUGCAGCAACGCACAAACUGGAAGAAUUAGACUUCGUGUACUGAGAAUCUCAAACAAGCAGGAUGGAACGCUAUAUCAAAAAGGAUUUGGGCGUCCCAGUCACUCAAAGGCAUAGGGUACACAAGAACUGGCUAUUCUCCUUAAUAAGGAGAACGUGACGUUGCGUUACAUGUAUGGUAUUUUUAAAACGAGUGACAGGGUCAAAUGUCAAGUACUUUUACUUAGUUCGAGUUCUUGCCUUGUGUAGGUCGAGUAUUCGCCAUGGAGGUUCUGUUC